rnacentral:lncRNA from 1 species
AUGUCAGAUGGGAUUCCUGAGGGGUUGGUGAGGUUGGGAUCAAGUAUGAAGAUUUGUUGUAGGUCUCAUGUGUUGGUGUUGAAUAGGAAUCAGGCUAUGGCUAUGAUGAAGCCAAUGUCUCCGAUGCGGUUGUAUAGGAUUGCUUGGAGGGCCGCAGUGUUGGCAUCUGUUCGACCAUAUCAUCAUCCGAUUAGUAAGAAUGAUAUGAUGCCUACUCCUUCUCAUCCGAUGAACAGUUGGAAGAGGUUGUUGGCUGUGACUAAGAUUAUUAUGGUGAUGAGGAAUGUGAGUAGGUAUUUAAAAAAUCGGGUAAUGUAAGGAUCUGAGUGCAUGUAUCAUAGAGAGAAUUCUAUGAUAGAUCAUGUUACGAAUAGGGCUACUGGUACAAAGACCAUUGAGAAGUAGUCUAGUUUGAAGCUUAGAGAUAGUUUGAGG